rnacentral:rRNA from 1 species
GACGUAGGGCGCGAGCGUUGUCCGGAUUUAUUGGGCGUAAAGAGCUCGUAGGCGGCUUGUCGCGUCGUCCGUGAAAACCUGCAGCUCAACUGCAGGCUUGCGGUCGAUACGGGCAGGCUAGAGUUCGGUAGGGGAGACUGGAAUUCCUGGUGUAGCGGUGAAAUGCGCAGAUAUCAGGAGGAACACCGGUGGCGAAGGCGGGUCUCUGGG